GAUAAAGAAGGUGCUGAAAGCCCGGAUUUGCACAGGCUAAACCCUCUGACUUUUGUUUACGAUUCAAUGUGCUUGAAUAAGAGACGAGAUAGUAUAAGUCCCAUGCCUUCUAAACCAAUAGGGUGGAGAGUGGAACUAAGCCCAGAGAGCGGCCAUGAUAAGGAGAUUACAUUAAUGCCACUUACCGCAGCAAUAGCAGGAGCAAAGAAAGUGUAG
rnacentral:lncRNA from 1 species